rnacentral:rRNA from 1 species
CAAGUCGAGGGGUAGAGGAAGCUUGCUUCCUUGAGACCGGCGCACGGGUGCGUAACGCGUAUACAAUCUACCUUUACAGAGGGAUAGCCCAGAGAAAUUUGGAUUAAUACCUCAUAGUAUUUUCGGAUCGCAUGAUUUGACUAUUAAAGUCACAACGGCAAAAGAUGAGCAUGCGUCCCAUUAGCUAGUUGGUAAGGUAACGGCUUACCAAGGCUACGAUGGGUAGGGGUCCUGAGAGGGAGAUCCCCCACACUGGUACUGAGACACGGACCAGACUCCUACGGGAGGCAGCAGUGAGGAAUAUUGGACAAUGGGCGCAAGCCUGAUCCAGCCAUGCCGCGUGCAGGAUGACGGUCCUAUGGAUUGUAAACUGCUUUUAUACAGGAAGAAACACUCCGACGUGUCGGAGCUUGACGGUACUGUAAGAAUAAGGAUCGGCUAACUCCGUG